UCCCUCUAAGGAUUGCACCUGGAGAGUUUCCAGUACUCUACCAGUCUCGGCUAGGGGAGGGAGAGUCAGGCAGAGGCAUACCCAUUCUAUUCCUGGCUUGGGCCAUGGCUAGUUUGCGGAAGGCAAUCUGCUACAAGU